rnacentral:lncRNA from 1 species
AAAAAAAAAAAAAAAGAGAGAGAAAUAAAAAUAAAAUCUGGUUGCUAUGGGGAUAGGAAGGCUGCAGGAGGCUAUUCCAAAGCCUGCAGUCUGUGCGAGCGCAGUGUUCUCACGGCAGAAAGGAGAGUGUGUGGUGGCUGUGUAAACUUCAGUUUGACUGGGGCAUGCCAGGCUUACGCUCAUAUAUAACUGCUGUAAGCACCUAAGUGCUGAGCCAGCAGCUAACCUCAGACCUGUGUUCUCAUCCUAGUGACCUCACUAUGGCUGUGGGUCACCACCACUGCAGCUGUGCACAGACCCUGUAACGAGCAUCAGGAUGCUGCUCCCACAGCCAAGCCGCAGCGUGGACAGGCAGAUUUUCCUCCCUCACUGAGUUGUUGUGAAUGGAAGUCACCAGAGACGUAUUGCAGCUGUCUCCCUGUGGUGGGUUACACGAACUGCAGCCUGUGGAAAUGUUCCUCUUGUCUGACGGAUCCUUACCUCUAGUGCACUGUACAGGAUCGUACAACAACAAAUGGAAGCGAUAUGAUUCUGAAGAUGUCUCAGAUUUAGUAGGCACCAAACAAAGAAGAAAAAAAAAUAACUUUCAGGAUGGAAAAUCAUGGAGGAUUGACUCCAGCCAGCAGCCAAGCACCCACACAGCUGCUUUUUCCCUCCCUCACCCCAAGAGGGAGAAAAUAGGAGGAAUACAAGUGAGGGAAAUUGUGGAUUGAGAUCAAGACAACUGAAUUGGUGAAGAAAGAGAGGAAGAACCAUGAGCAAAGCAGAGGAAAUCAUACAGCACCGCUACAGACAGCUUGAUACUCGGUCUGUCAAGGGGCAGCUUGGAAGCCAAACGCCUUUCUACUCUCUUAUCUCAGUUUUUAUUGCUGGGCAUAGAAUCAUAGAAUCACCAAGGCUGGAAAAGACAUCCUAGAUCAUCCAGUCCAACCAUUCACAUAUCACCAAUAUUUCCCACUAAACCAUGUCCCUCAGUACAACACCUAAAUGUUUCUUGAACACUCCAGGGACAGUGAUUUCACCACCUUCUCCCUGGGCAGCCUGUUCCAGUGCCUGACCACAUGCCUGAAGAAGUUUUUCCUAACAUCCUACCUGAAUCACCCCAGCGCAACUUGAGGCCAUUCCCUCUAGCCCUAUCACUAGUUACAAGGGAGAAGAGACUAACCCCACCCCACUACAACCUCCUUUCAGGCAGUUGUAGAGAUCAAUAAUGUCACCCCUGAGCCUCCUCUUCUCCAGACUAAAUAAUUCCAGUUCCCUCAGCCAAUCCCCAUAAGACUUUUGCUCCAGACCCCUCACCAGCUUUGUUGCCCUUCUCUGAACAUGCUCCAGGACCCCAAUGUCUUCCUUGCAGUGAGGGGCCCAAAACUGAACACAGUGCUUGAGGUGCAACCUCACCAGGGUUGAGUACAGAGGGAUGAUCACUUCCUUGCUUCAGCUGGCAACACUAUUUCUGAUACAAGCCAGGCCACCUGGGCACACUGCUGCCUCACAUUCAGCUGAGCAUCAACCAACACCCCAAGUCCAUUUCUUGUACGGUGUUCCAGCCACUCUGCCCCAAGACUGUAGCAUUGCCUGGGGUUGCUGUGGCCAAAGUGCAGGACCUGGCACUUGAUCAUGUUGAACUUCAUCCCUUUGGCCCCAGCCUAGUGAUCGA